rnacentral:rRNA from 1 species
GGGGAAUAUUGGACAAUGGGGGGAACCCUGAUCCAGCCAUGCCGCGUGUGUGAAGAAGGCCUUAUGGUUGUAAAGCACUUUAAGCGAGGAGGAGGCUCUUUUGGUUAAUACCCAAGAUGAGUGGACGUUACUCGCAGAAUAAGCACCGGCUAACUCUGUGCCAGCAGCCGCGGUAAUACAGAGGGUGCGAGCGUUAAUCGGAUUUACUGGGCGUAAAGGGUGCGUAGGCGGCCUUGUAAGUCAGAUGUGAAAGGCUACGGCUCAACCGUAGUAAGCAUUUGAAACUGCAGGGCUUGAGUGCAGGAGAGGAGAGUGGAAUUCCUAGUGUAGCGGUGAAAUGCGUAGAUAUUAGGAGGAACACCAGUGGCGAAGGCGACUCUCUGGACUGUAACUGACGCUGAGGCACGAAAGCGUGGGGAGCAAACA